UACAGAGGGUGCGAGCGUUAAUCGGAAUUACUGGGCGUAAAGCGCACGUAGGUGGCGACGUAAGUCAGACGUGAAAUCCCCCGGCUUAACCUGGGAACUGCGUCUGAUACUGGAAGGCUUGAGGAUGGGAGAGGGAUGUAGAAUUCCAGGUGUAGCGGUGAAAUGCGUAGAUAUCUGGAGGAAUACCGGUGGCGAAGGCGGCAUCCUGGACCAUUACUGACGCUGAGGCGCGAAAGCUAGGGGAGCAAACGGG
rnacentral:rRNA from 1 species